rnacentral:rRNA from 1 species
AUACGUAGGGGGCGAGCGUUGUCCGGAAUGAUUGGGCGUAAAGGGCGCGUAGGCGGCGCGGUAAGUCUGGAGUGAAAGUCCUGCUUUCAAGGUGGGAAUUGCUUUGGAUACUGCCGCGCUUGAGUGCAGGAGAGGUUAUCGGAAUUCCCAGUGUAGCGGUGAAAUGCGUAGAGAUUGGGAGGAACACCAGUGGCGAAGGCGACUUACUGGGCCGUAACUGACGCUGAGGCGCGAAAGCGUGGGGAGCGAACAGGAUUAGAUACCCUGGUAGUCCACGCGGUAAACGAUGAUUACUAGGUGUGGGGGGACUGACCCCUUCCGUGCCGCAGUUAACACAAUAAGUAAUCCACCUGGGGAGUACGGCCGCAAGGUUGAAACUCAAAUGAAUCGACGGGG